UGCUUAUCCUCACAUCACAUUCAGUAGGAGCGUUGCCGGGGCAAGCUUCCCCCAUGCUGCCCCACACGAGUCCCUCCAAUCUGACCAGAAGGGACCCUUCUAGAGGUGGGA
rnacentral:sRNA from 1 species